CCUCCCCUCAGAGGCUGCUGCACAUCUAGGGUCUUCUGAUCCAACAUCGAGGUCGCAAGCUUUUCUGUCAAUAAGUACUCUCAAGAAAAAUUACGCUGUUAUCCCUAAGGUAACUUUUUCUUUCUAUUAAAAACUUUUAGGUCAUAUCCAAUUAGAUUUUUUUUAAUUAUCCCUUGUCUUAUAUUAAAGGAAGUUGCCCCAACUAAACUUUUAACAAUACAAACAUAAUUGUUUAAAAGUAAAGCUCUAUAGGGUCUUCUCGUCCCACUAAUUAAUUGUGGCCUCUUCACCACAUAGUUAACUUCGAAUUUAAUAAAGAGAGACAGUCCCUCUAUCGUCUAGCCGUUGAUACUAGCCUACAAUUAAUAGGCGAAUGAUUAUGCUACCUUUGCACAGUCAGUAAUACUGCAGCCGUUUAACCUAAGUCACUGGGCAGGCAGAACCUUUAAUCUUUUACUAAAGGCGAU
rnacentral:rRNA from 1 species